rnacentral:rRNA from 1 species
UACAGAGGUCUCAAGCGUUGUUCGGAUUCAUUGGGCGUAAAGGGUGUGUAGGUGGCGCGCUAAGUCGGGUGUGAAAUUUCGGAGCUUAACUCCGAAACUGCAUUCGAUACUGGCGUGCUUGAGGACUGGAGAGGAGACUGGAAUUCAUGGUGUAGCAGUGAAAUGCGUAGAGAUCAUGAGGAAGACCAGUGGCGAAGGCGGCCCCCUGGUCGGAUACUGACGCUGAGACGCGAAAGCGUGGGGAGCAAACAGG